GAUGAACGCUGGCGGCGUGCUUAACACAUGCAAGUCGAACGGGAAACCUUUUAUUGAAGCUUCGGCAGAUUUAGCUGGUUUCUAGUGGCGGACGGGUGAGUAACGCGUGGGUAACCUGCCUUAUACAGGGGGAUAACAACCAGAAAUGGUUGCUAAUACCGCAUAAGCGCACAGGACCGCAUGGUCCGGUGUGAAAAACUCCGGUGGUAUAAGAUGGACCCGCGUUGGAUUAGCUAGUUGGCAGGGUAACGGCCUACCAAGGCGACGAUCCAUAGCCGGCCUGGGAGGGUGAACGGCCACAUUGGGACUGAGACACGGCCCAGACUCCUACGGGAGGCAGCAGUGGGGAAUAUUGCACAAUGGGGGAAACCCUGAUGCAGCGACGCCGCGUGAAGGAAGAAGUAUCUCGGGAUGUAAACUUCUAUCAGCAGGGAAGAUAGUGACGGUACCUGACGAAGAAGCCCCGGCUAACUACGUG
rnacentral:rRNA from 1 species